CGGGCUAUAGCGCAGUUGGCUAGCGCGCUUGCAUGGGGUGCAAGAGGUCGUGGGUUCAAGUCCCACUAGCCCGACCA
rnacentral:tRNA from 1 species